AUGGGCGAAAGCCUGACGCAGCAACGCCGUGUGAGGGAUGAAGGUUUUCGGAUCGUAAACCUCUGUCAGAAGGGAAGAAGUGAUGCGGGUCCAACAGGCCCGUAUCUUGACGGUACCUUCAAAGGAAGCACCGGCUAACUCCGUGCCAGCAGCCGCAGUAAUACGGAGGGUGCAAGCGUUAUUCGGAAUUACUGGGCGUAAAGCGCACGUAGGCGGCCUUGUAAGUCAGGUGUGAAAUCCCACGGCUCAACCGUGGAACUGCACUUGAAACUGCGGGGCUCGAAUCCUGGAGAGGGCGGCGGAAUUCCUGGUGUAGGAGUGAAAUCCGUAGAUAUCAGGAGGAACACCGGUGGCGAAGGCGGCCGCCUGGACAGGUAUUGACGCUGAGGUGCGAAAGUGUGGGGAGCAAACAGGAUUAGAUACCCUGGUAGUCCACACCGUAAACGAUGGAUACUAGGUGUCGGGGACUGAUCCUCGGUGCCGCAGUUAACGCGUUAAGUAUCCGCCUGGGAGUACGGUCGCAAGGCUGAAACUC
rnacentral:rRNA from 1 species